AAAGAAAUCAACCGAGAUUCCCCCAGUAGCGGCGAGCGAACGGGGAGGAGCCCAGAGCCUGAAUCAGCAUGUGUGUUAGUGGAAGCGUCUGGAAAGGCGCGCGAUACAGGGUGACAGCCCCGUACACAAAAGCGCAUGUGCUGUGAGCUCGAUGAGUAGGGCGGGACACGUGGUAUCCUGUCUGAAUAUGGGGGGACCAUCCUCCAAGGCUAAAUACUCCUGACUGACCGAUAGUGAACCAGUACCGUGAGGGAAAGGCGAAAAGAACCCCGGCGAGGGGAGUGAAAAAGAACCUGAAACCGUGUACGUACAAGCAGUGGGAGCACAGGUUUACCUGUGUGACUGCGUACCUUUUGUAUAAUGGGUCAGCGACUUAUAUUCUGUAGCAAGGUUAACCGAAUAGGGGAGCCGGAGGGAAACCGAGUCUUAAUUGGGCGUUAAGUUGCAGGGUAUAGACCCGAAACCCGGUGAUCUAGCCAUGGGCAGGUUGAAGGUUGGGUAACACUAACUGGAGGACCGAACCGACUAAUGUUGAAAAAUUAGCGGAUGACCUGUGGCUGGGGGUGAAAGGCCAAUCAAACCGGGAGAUAGCUGGUUCUCCCCGAAAGCUAUUUAGGUAGCGCCUCGUGAAUUCAUCUCCGGGGGUAGAGCACUGUUUCGGCUAGGGGGCCAUCCCGGCUUACCAACCCGAUGCAAACUGCGAAUACCGGAGAAUGUUAUCACGGGAGACACACGGCGGGUGCUAACGUCCGUCGUGAAGAGGGAAACAACCCAGACCGCCAGCUAAGGUCCCAAAGUCAUGGUUAAGUGGGAAACGAUGUGGGAAGGCCCAGACAGCCAGGAUGUUGGCUUAGAAGCAGCCAUCAUUUAAAGAAAGCGUAAUAGCUCACUGGUCGAGUCGGCCUGCGCGGAAGAUGUAACGGGGCUAAACCAU
rnacentral:rRNA from 1 species